AUUGAACGCUGGCGGCAUGCCUUACACAUGCAAGUCGAACGGCAGCACGGGAGCAAUCCUGGUGGCGAGUGGCGAACGGGUGAGUAAUAUAUCGGAACGUGCCCAGUCGUGGGGGAUAACGUAGCGAAAGCUACGCUAAUACCGCAUACGAUCUACGGAUGAAGGCGGGGGAUCGCAAGACCUCGCGCGAUUGGAGCGGCCGAUAUCAGAUUAGGUAGUUGGUGAGGUAAAGGCUCACCAAGCCGACGAUCUGUAGCUGGUCUGAGAGGACGACCAGCCACACUGGGACUGAGACACGGCCCAGACUCCUACGGGAGGCAGCAGUGGGGAAUUUUGGACAAUGGGCGCAAGCCUGAUCCAGCAAUGCCGCGUGCAGGAUGAAGGCCUUCGGGUUGUAAACUGCUUUUGUACGGAACGAAACGGCGAGCUCUAAUACAGUCUGCUAAUGACGGUACUUGACUAAGAAGCCCCGGCUAACUACGUGCCAGCAGCCGCCGUAA
rnacentral:rRNA from 1 species